rnacentral:rRNA from 1 species
GAUGAACGCUGGCGGCGUGCCUAAUACAUGCAAGUCGAGCGAACAGAUGAGGAGCUUGCUCCCCUGACGUUAGCGGCGGACGGGUGAGUAACACGUGGAUAACCUACCUAUAAGACUGGGAUAACUUCGGGAAACCGGAGCUAAUACCGGAUAAUAUAUUGAACCGCAUGGUUCAAUAGUGAAAGACGGUUUUGCUGUCACUUAUAGAUGGAUCCGCGUCGCAUUAGCUAGUUGGUAAGGUAACGGCUUACCAAGGCAACGAUGCGUAGCCGACCUGAGAGGGUGAUCGGCCACACUGGAACUGAGACACGGUCCAGACUCCUACGGGAGGCAGCAGUAGGGAAUCUUCCGCAAUGGGCGAAAGCCUGACGGAGCAACGCCGCGUGAGUGAUGAAGGUCUUCGGAUCGUAAAACUCUGUUAUUGGGGAAGAACAAAUGUGUAAGUAACUAUGCACGUCUUGACGGUACCUAAUCAGAAAGCCACGGCUAACUACGUG